rfam:Salmo salar isolate Sally breed double haploid chromosome ssa14, whole genome shotgun sequence.
UAGCUCAGUUGGUAGAGCAUGGUGUUUGCAACGCCAGGGUUGUGGGUUUGAUUCCCAC